rnacentral:rRNA from 1 species
UAUUACCGCGGCUGCUGGCACGGAGUUAGCCGGCCCUUCUUCUGCGAGUAACGUCACAGCUACUGGAUAUUAGCCAGUAACCUUUCCUCCUCGCUGAAAGUGCUUUACAACCCGAAGGCCUUCUUCACACACGCGGCAUGGCUGCAUCAGGGUUUCCCCCAUUGUGCAAUAUUCCCCACUGCUGCCUCCCGUAGGAGU